rnacentral:rRNA from 1 species
GACGUAGGGCGCGAGCGUUGUCCGGAUUUAUUGGGCGUAAAGAGCUCGUAGGCGGCUUGUCGCGUCGAGUGUGAAAUCCUGCGGCUCAACUGCAGGCUUGCAUUCGAUACGGGCAGGCUAGAGUGUGGUAGAGGAAGAUGGAAUUCCCGGUGUAGCGGUGAAAUGCGUAGAUAUCGGGAGGAAUACCUAUGGCGAAAGCAGUCUUCUGGACCAUCACUGACGCUGAUCUGCGAAAGCUAGGGGAGCAAACGGG